ensembl:lncRNA
AUUUUCUUUCUAAGCAAUUUUAGGCACUCACACAUCUGCCUUGUUACAUUUGCUUUCUGCCUAGAAGGAUGGCUGCCCGUGGCGCAGUGACUGUGGGCUGGUUCCAAAUAGUGAAUUCAGAAGGUUCCUGCGAGGAUGAUGAGAAGCGUCUGGCAGGAGUCAUCACUCCUGCAAGAUUCUGCGAUGCCCAAGGCCAGCCCCCAAAGAGGGACAGCCGGGCCUGGAGAUACCAGCUCCACUACAGACCCUCAGGCACGAGCACGUCCUGCUGGCGCCUUGACAGUCCACUGCCCAGACCCAGAGGGGUCUGCACACACGCGACCAGAUGGAAACUUCCAGUUUCAGCCACAACCUCCCAAGGGAGCACUUGGGAGAACCCCAGGCAUACACCGCUUGGGUACUUUUGUGCCUGUCAUCAUUGAGCCCAGAGAACAGGGGCUGUCACAGACCUGAUCACAUGGGGACGGUCACGCCUGCCGUUCAGGCUGUGCCCAUGGACUAGCAGGAGAGAGAGUGCUAAGGGGACACACCCGUACACACUGAGUUGCCCAGCAACACGGGAUGUCAGGCCCAGGGACACACACCCUCGCUGGCAUGACCCACUCAGACUGUUUCCACAGAGGCGGACUCGCACAGAGCAGCUGCCCCAGGCGACUCUCUGGCCCUGCUGGGAAAAGCCUUCGUUCAGAGCCAGCUGUGCCAAUAAAGAUCCUGGGCAUCCACACCCCAGAAUGAUGACCAGUUAGACAGGGCCGAGGCGAGCCCCCCAAACUGCCAGUCACUCCUCGGUGACACACAAACACUCCUCUGAGUGGCCAGUCUAGACUCCUCACCUCCUUUUGUUCCCUCUCGGAAAACCUUUGGCUUUUCCAUUUUAAUCAGCCAGUGACCACACAAUCUAUUUCUGUAACUUCUCGGCAUUCGCCAGAUUGUUCUUUUGAAAUGUCUACAGUAAGUUACAAAGAAUGCCUCUGACCUUUGUUUUCAAAUUCGUCGACGCAAACAGUCAACACACAAUGUGAAACUUAGAGGACGAUUUUCAAUUUUCACAGACAAACCGGGCUUGAGUUUCUUUCAACUUUUGGAUGGAGAAGAAAGGCAGCUUUUCAGUGAUUCUUAAAAUUCCGACUCGGUAAACAGGAAAAGAGCAACAACUCUGCCGUCUUUGAAAGUGCAGCGUGAACGCCAGGAGCAAGACCCCUCUGAGCAGCACCUCUCACGGCUUAGGGACGGGUAAACUGAGGACUCAACCUCGGAAUGGUUUCCCACUCGGACCCUAUCUGUGAUUAGGCCAAACUUCCGGCAUGGUGUUUAGACUGCUGUCUAUUGCACAGCUGUGCCUCACUGGGGUCCAAGGACAGCCCCCUUGGGUGGGUUCUGUCCCCUUCUCAGAUGGUUCAGGCUCCGUGUUGGUUUCCGGAUGAGAUAAUCUGGUCCCCUGGCCGUGGCAGGCCUCUCUUUCGUCCCGUCACCACACAGGACCAACUUGGAGUCAUCCUCCCACCUACACGCUGCGUGUGGCCAGGCGCCCCCUGCCAUGCAGGUCCUCCCUCCCUGCCUGUCCCUUCCCACCCUCUGACAGGAAUUCCAGUGUGAAUGUGGAAUGGCCACCUUUAGCGAACUGGAACCUGGACUACACAGCCCGUCUCCAGAGAUUGUCACCCCCGCCCCCUAAAUUCCUUUGUACUCUUUUCUUUAAAGAUUGGCAUCUGAGCUAACAACCGUUGCCAAUCUUCUUUUUUUUUUUUUUUUCUGCUUUAUCUCCCCAACACCCCCUGUACAUAGUUGUAAAUCUUAGUUGCAGGUCCUUCUAGUUGUGGGAUGUGGGACGCCGCUUCAACGUGGCCUGAAGAGCGGUGCCAUGUCCGCGCCCGGGAUCCGAACCCUGGGCCACCGCAGCGGAGCACGCAAACUUAACCACUGGGCCACCGAGCCGGCCCCCCUUUCUAUUCUUACUGUUUGUACCUCAGAACCUCACUCAAGACAGAAAUAAGCCAAAAAAACCUACUGGAUUUCAUUUUUUUAAUAAAAAAUUUCUGUAUGUCAAAAACCACAAACAAAUUUAAAGACAAACUUGGAAAAUAAAUUUUCCAGACAAAGGUGGCAACAGAGGCAAAUAUCCUUAAUGUACAAAGAGCUUGUAAAGUAUAGGGCACCAAAGAGAGAGAUGGAGGAUGUCAGCAGGUAGAUUAAUCAAAAUAAUGACCAAAUGGUUAAUAAGAGAAGAAAAUCCUCAACCUCCUUAAUACUCAAAGCAAAGCAAAAAUAAAACCAUUUGAGAUAACAUUUCACCUUAUUACCUAACAGACCAGCAAAUGAAUACCCACUGCUGGGCACAGGCCUUCUUGCGAAUUACUUCUAGGAAUGCACAAUAACUGGAAAAGCCUUUUUUGGAGGAAAAUUAAGCCUUAAAAUUCCCAGUACCCUAUGACCUAUCUAUUCCACCUCUGGAAGUGAUCUGGAAGGAAUCUUGAAGGUGUCCAAAAUGUAUAGCUACAAAAAUGCUUGUGGCAGCACUGUUGCUAAAACAGAAAGAAAAAAAUGCAUUUAUAAUUUUUUCCUCUAUCUUUUUUUUUGUUUUGAGGAAGCUUAGUCCUGAGCUAAGUGCUGCCAAUCCUCCUCUUUUUUUGCUGAGGAAGACUGGCCCUGAGCUAACAUCCGUGCCCAUCUUCCUCUACUUUAUAUGUGGGAUUACUGCACAGCAUGGCUUGACAAGCGGUGCCACAUCCGUACCCAGGAUCCGAACCGGCGAACCCUGGGCCACCUAAGCAGAAAGCGUGCACAAAACCGCUGCACCACCAGGCUGGCCGCAUCCUCUUUCUUGAUUGUAUACCCAAUUCUCCUGGGCCUGUCUUAUGUUAUAUUUAUUUAAAUUCUGAACACACUGUGCCAGAACGUUAUCUUGUGUUUUGGUACCUUAAUAAAAAAUGCAGUUGAUAAGUAAUAGUCUGAGCUGGGGUGCGUCUGAGGGUUGACUCAGCCCCUCCUGGGUCCUGUCACCCAUGGAAAGGGCCUCCCGCUCUGUCUUCUGCUCUGAGGUGUAGGGACCUCGGAUUGAGUGGGGCCAGGAGACGGGCGGACAUCGUGUGGAGAGAAGCUGUCAGAGGAGCAGGAGCCAGGCCCUUGGGAAGUAGCUCGGAUGUCGGGUUCCAGGUAAUGGAGCCGUGAUGCUGGGGCCAGAUUGUCUGUGGUGAGAAGUUCUUUGUAGGGGGAUAGGGUCAGCAGAUUGCAACAGGGCCUCACUGGCUCUGCCUCCCCCAUCCCCCACCUUGCUGUCACCAUGGCGCUGGGCUGUCCCAGGCCUUCCCAGGGAGACGGUCUCUCGGAAAGGAGAGGUGACCGGGAGAAUACUCUUUUAUGGGAAAUUUGCCACAUCACCUGAGCGUUCCCCUGUGAGUUCCCUGAGUCCUCUCCUCCUGCUGUCCUCCUGGAGCUCCCUAGUGUGGCCCAGGGCGCCCCAGCCAUCCUCUCUCCUGCAGGACAGCCGCAUCCUCAAGGUGGCCGUGAAAGCAAAUUUACCCUGGCCGAGGGUUCCACCUGCCAUUUCCCGUCAUACCCUAACUCGGAACCUUCCCUGAAAUACGGCUGCCCCAGGACCCUCUGGUGACAACUCCCCCUCUGGGUCGAGGGCUUAUCUUUCUCAUCACCCUUUGUGCAUCCCCAUUUCCUCUGAUUCUUCUAAAAUGUCUCUUGGCCGUGCCAUUUCUUUUCCACUCUCGUCCCACUCCUCCUGCCCUUCUCCCCUGGGGCCCACGCUGUCUCAACAGUUGCGUGGCCAGUCAGAACUAUGGUCGUGCUGAGUACAACCCAGUUUCCUUCAAAGUGACAUAGCCACUUCCAUUCUGCCCUGGAGGUGUUCACACUUUAUUUUUAGCCAUAGAUGCAGGAUUUUGGCUGCCCCCAUGCAAAACAUAAGUGCUGAGCAGCCCUGGUUGGAGGGGGUGUGAGGCCUGGAGCCCUGCUCACAUGGCAAUCCCCCCAUCCCCAGCAGAAUCCUGGUGACCCAUCAGAAUCAUUGGGGAAACUUAAACAAAUGGGAAUUCCAGAGCCUGGGGCAGGCCUCCUGACUCAGAAUCUGUGUGUGUGGCGUGGGGGUGGGGGUGGAGUCCGAGCUUUGAAACAAGCUUCCCAGAGGCCCUGAAGCAGCUGGUCGGCAUCUCCUCAGCUGCCAGUUCCUCUCCAACAGGGGCCUCACUCUGGCCAUGGGGGUCCUGCCACCUUCAAGACCUGCCAGGCCUUCCCUUCACCCCCUCAGCUCUUCCCCCUAGGUACCCUCAUCACCUGGUCAAAUUGCACCCCAGCCCACCCCUUCGGUGAGUCCUACACCUGCCUGACCCGUCUCUGGACAACUCUAGUGCCUACUGUCUGUGCUGCUCAUGGGGUCUAGUGUGUUUAUUUAUUUGUUUUUUGCAGGGAAGGAUUCGCCCUGAGCUAACAUCUGUUGCCAAGCUUCCUCUUUUUUUUUUCCCCCCAAGCCCCCCAGUGCACAGUUGUAUAUCUUAGUUGUGAGUCCGUCUAGUUCUUUGGUGUGAGCCACCGCCUCAGCAUGGCUACUGACAGACGAGUGGUGUGGUUCUGCCACCCGGCAGCUUCCUAAUGUGUUUAUUUUCAAUUUCUCAAGUAGUGUAGGAAUACGUCGUUAUUGGAAAACAGCUCAGGUGAUGCAGACAGAGUGAAGGCCCUGGACCCUCCCGUCGUCCACUCCCAUACUGCGGCCACGUGGGGCCGGCGGGUGUCCUCCCAGACCCGUGUCCAUGUCUUUCCCACCCAGUGUCCAGAUCUGGAAAGAGAAGAACUGUCUUUCGUCCCGCCUGAGACUGCUCUUCUGCCCGUGCCGUGUUCUGGGCCCUGCAGCCUCCCCCACAGCCACCCGCCUCUCUCCAGCUUCUCUCCCCUCCACAGCCCCCUCCCUGGGGCCUCUGUGUGUGCCUAUGUGCACACACACACACAUCUACACAGGUGUUUCUUUUCUUGAAAAUCUCUCUUUCUGGAUCCUUCCAUGCCUUUUAAUCCCCUCUCCUGUCAGUAUCCUUCCUUUUAAGUCCAACUUCUUUGACAAAUGGGCUCGCUUGGCUGAGUACUUCGCACCUGCAACAGCUCAGGUCUCAGCUGCCUCCCUCCUGCCCAGUCCCCCGGGGAGGGCAUGGACCCAAGUCCGGGGGGGAGGGGGGAGGCUCCUGUUAGCACAGCGCUGUUGUCUCCCCCACCAACCCCGUGGCAGAAGUGCUCUGGCCUUGAGGAGGCCUAGCCAUCUAACAUCUGGAGCCAACGUUGUCUCCACUCCCAGGCAAAGCUCCUUGCCAGUGGCUGGCCCCAAGAAGUCCACGCGGCUCCUUCAGGAGGCGCAUGAGGGUCCGGGAGCGUGGAAGGGGAGCUCCUGGUGCAGUGUCUCAAGGUCAUUUCUGCAGUCACCCUCAGACUUCUGUGAGCUUCUGGCAGCUUGACCUACCAGGGAGGGAGGGACCAGCUCCAGAGGUUCUCCUGGGGUGCACCUCACCUACCCCAACAGCCUGGAUAUCUUCUGACAACCAGGGCUUCCAGAACCCCAGGGCCCACCUGAGAUGGGCACACAGCUCGGCCUCUUCAAUACAGGGGCUAGUUGAGAGAAGCGUUGCCAAACAGCCUCCUCUGAAGGACGAGGAACCGGAGACGGAACUUAGGCCUUGCCACUGUUCUCCUAACAAUAUCAUAAAAUAAAAGGAAAAAAAUUUUAAAUUUUGAAACAUUCCAACAAAGUACUGUAUUAGUUUCCUCUUGCUGCUAUCCCAAGUUACCACGAAUUUAGUGACUUAAAACCACAUAGAUUUGUUCUCUUACGCUUCUGGAGGUGAGAAGUCUAAAGGCAUGGUGUUGGUAGGGCUGUUCCUUCUGGAAUCUUCAAGGGAGAAUCUGUUUUCUUGCCUUUUCCAGCUUCUAGGAACCGUCUGCAUUCCUCGGCUUGUGGCCCCUUCUUCCAUCUUCAAAGCUCAUCCCUCCAACCUCACUUCCAUUGUCACAUGUUCUUUCUCUGACUCUGACCCUCCGGGCUCCUUAUCUUCUAAGGACCCUUGUGAUUACAUUGAGCCCACUGGGAUAAUUCAAGAUAAUCUCCCGUUUCAGGAUCCUUAACUUAAUCCCACCUGCAAAGUCCCUUUUACCACAGAAGGUAGCAUGUUCAUAGGUUCUAGGGAUUAGGACAUGGGGGGACAUCUUUGGGGGCUGUUAUUCAGCCAACCAUGAGUAUAAAAUGUAAUAUGGGUAGACGUCUGUAUCUGCCACCAAGAUUAAACAGAUGCUAAUAUUUUGCCUUAUUUUCUUCAGGUUUUUUCCCCCAGAAAUAAAGCUUUAUAGAAAUAGCUAAUGCCCUAUAUCGCUUUUCCCUCUCUUUCUCCUCCAAAGUAACCACUUCCCGAGGUUGGUGAAAAUAACCCCCACGUGUUUCUGUUUGCUCCAGAUUAUAAAUGCAUUUCUAAACAGAACAGUACUAUUUCUUUACGUUUUGAACCUUGAUGUAAAAGGAAUCACUGUGCGUACCACUUUGCAACCUGCUUUUUUAACUCAAUAUGGUUUUGAGAUUAUACAUGUUGAUACAUGAAGAUCUAGUUCAUUCAUUUUAACUGCAAGAUACAGUACUUCCGAUGAGCAAGCCAGAGUUCACUUUGUCCUUUUGCUGAAGACAGAUUGUUUUCACUUUUUUUUUUGCUAUUACAGACAGUGCUUCAAUAAAUAUCUUUGUACUUGUUUUCUCGAACACCUGUGCCAAAGACCUCAGUGGGAGCCGCCCUGCUGGGUGUGGGAUGUGCACACCUUCAGAAUUAUUAGGUGUUGCCUACUGGUCCAAGAGGACUUCCCAACUACAAUGUUUAAAAGCAUCCAUUUUCCCACAUCCUCACCAGCAUCUGGUAUUUUCAGAUUUGCUGUUUUUUCAAAAUGAUUUCCUUACAUGUUUUCCAGUCAAUCUGUUCUGCUCCCAAUUUUUUCUUGAACGUUUAUACAACUGGGACCCUUCCUCCAUCUUGACCCAGAGUUUGUCAAUCCACCCUGGACCUUCCGUGUUCUGCAUGGUACCCUCACCUGAUUCCCUCCCUAGGGAGCUCCCCACUCCAGACGGCCCUCUGCCCAUGCUGAGUUCCAUUUGUGCCAGCCCUAGAAGAGCUGCCCCCUGUAGGGUUCGGAGGCUCUCUGCCCUCCCCACAGAAGCUGUGGGACGUGCAGCGAUUCUCCCGCUGGGAGGUGAAGACUUCUGCAUUACAACCCUCCAGCCUAGAUGAACGAGGCACGUCCAACUCUGACGACGAGAGUAAAUCCACCCUAGAAUUAUUCACAAUAAAUGGUUGUGUUUCUCCUGUCCCCAAGGGUGUUCUGGAACAUACACCUGCCAAUGAACUAAAAACCGUAUCCAGAACGUGGCAGAUGGAGGACUAAGUCCAGAGACUGUGUGUGACCUUUCUUCCCAGGGCAAGCCUCCUUUUUUUAACAGCCUUUAGACACCAAACCUUCUUCUCUUCUAGGUUUUUAAACCCCGCUUUAAGGUCCAGUUAAAGUGGUGGGCUCACUCUCUUGAGUUCUCCCAGCACAGGGGGUCCUCUCUGAGUUAUCUGGCCCUCAUAAUGAUCGUUUUUCCUCCUGUUGGCCCUUCAACAAAUGGAAACGGCAUUGUCCUCACGUGUCUGUGUUAAGCUGAACAGAUUGCUCAGCUAUCUGGUUCCGACCUGAUGGCCUUUUGAACUUUGUAUAUGCCUGGCAGCUGUCCCUGCCCAUUUUGUAUAUUCCCAUGUGCGCACCAGCCAGGGCUUUGCCCAGGGGUGCUGCUGGCAGAGUCAUGCUUAACCUCCUGCUGUGAUAAACUAUUGGUUUGUGGUUCUGAUGCUCAACAUUGUGCCCCCUUGUCUGACCCAUCCUGGGAUUAAGACAGGGAGAGGUGGGGCCGGCCUGGUGGCACAGCAGUUAAGUUUACACGUUCUGCUUCUCAGCGGCCCGGGGUUCGCCGGUUUGGAUCAUGCUGUGGUAGGCAUCCCACGUAUAAAGUAGAGGAAGAUGGGCAUGGAUGUUAGCUUAGGGCCAGUCUUCCUCAGCAAAAAGAGGAGGAUUGGCAGUAGUUAGCUCAGGGCUAAUCUUCCUCAAAAAAAAAAAAAAAAAAAAGACAGGGAGAGGAGGGGUUCACAGUGACCAGCAUGGCAUGAGGCUCCUUUGGGCCCUAUGUGUUACCUUCUGUCAUCUAAAGGAUAUGCAAAACUCCCUUUCAACUGAAUUCCCUUUCCAGAGAAUAACCCAGACCAACAGAGCCCAGGGGACACCAGCCCUGACUGUCCUCCUCCUCACAGGCUACUGGAAGCUCAAAAUGCCUGAGGUGCCAGGAGGCAGAGGGACAAGGAAACCACAGAAUAAGUCACCCAGAAACCCAGGGAGUUGAAAUCCUCUUCUCAAGCGCUUGUUUGCUAAAAACAAAUGUUUCCUAAUGGAACUCACACGGAGGCCUGGGCAGCCACCAAGGCGAAUAAUUUGGCGGAUGUCGGGGCUGGGGUGUCCGCGACUUCUGAAGAGGACCGACGAAGCUCACAGCCACAUGCCUGCACAUGACAUCUCUCACUGGGCUCCUCUCUCCAGGCUUUGUGGAUUCCUGAAUUCUCUCUGGCCGGGAAAUCUGAUCAAUCAUCUGAAAAGUUUUAAAAGGAGCUAGGUGAAGAUUUUUUCCCCCUGGCAGAACAGUUUAAAUCCUGCCGUAAAUUAAGGGUUCGCUUAACUCCUAAUUACUGCAUUAGAAAUUAAGAUAUUGUUUCUGUAAGACUUCUCAAACCAAAGUUCUUAUUCUUCAAAAAUGACAUCCUGCUUAUUAGCUUCUUAAAAAUCACUCACCACGGGGUUUACUGAUGGCUCUUGACAGUUUGCUGCCAUACACUUCUCAGCGACUGGAGGACACUCUCCUAAUCUAUAGUCUUACAUGAGGAGCAGAUGGGUUGAUACAUCCGUUCCAUGGUCGUGCUUGGCUUCAUCUUACUGAGAAGUUGGUUAAGUACAAUGUAAGAGGCAAGGUGUGGGUGUCACGUGAUGCCAUCUGUGUGUGUCUGACUGUGUGUCUAAUGAUGGACACGUAAUUGUACCGUGGUGAGCUGGAGCGGGCUCUCAUCACAAGCUCCUUGUGUGCAUUUCUUCUCGACUCCGCAUUCACUGACAUCAAGUCAGCAGCGUGAAAUCAGCCACACUAGGAGUAUUUACACCACAAAAAUUGGCAAACGCUACCAACCAGGGUGGGGUGGGGCGAGUGCUUAGAAAACGUCUGGAAGAAACAAGAAACACCAAAAAUAAUUACCCAUGCAGAGUGAAACUGGAGAGCAAGGGGAUUGGAGAGAAGUUUUUUUUUGCUUUUUGAAUUUUUUAAAAUCACGUUUGUAACUGUUUUUUAAAAAGAGAACUUUCUUUCUUUUUUAGGAACAAAGACUUCAGCAGCCUUUGUUAAUCCCACGCCAACUGUUAGCUGGAAACUGCCUGCGGCCCACCUGCCUGACUGGCCCACCUGCCUGACGAGGAGGAGAUCAGAGCCUGGAGAGGUGUCCUGAAGCCCCAGUGGGGCAACAUCCUGGGACGGGAGCUGGAGGCUGGGCAGAGGUGGGGCCCCGAGGACACACUGAGGGCAGCAGCAGGCAGUCCUUCUAGAACUUCCUGCCAAGUGGGAGAGGGGAGCCAAAGUAACGCCAGGCCUCCAGCCAAGAUGUCAGGCCAAAAUUCGGGUCACCAAAUCCGAAGAAUCAAACAGAAAAAUGGGUAUGAAGGUAGAAUACCAAAAAUGGAGCAGCCCUGGGGAGGGCGGGGGAGGUGGAGACCUGGAGCUUAAAUUAAAGGGGGACAUCAGUUCUGCCCAGGAGGGAAGGGGGGCAGACUGGGGCAGUGAGGACACAAGCAGAAACAGGUUCCUCGGCACUGGGGAAAAGCCGCCCCACGACUCCCCAGGGAGGCCGUAGUCCGCAGUAAACAACUACCGAGGAAUGAAGCAGAACUCCAGAUGGAUUCCAGGAAGGAACCUCGUCACGCUCCCGAAAGGACUCCUAGAGGCCCCGGAUGUUCCCUAUCUCCUUCUGUACUGUUGACACCUGAUCGACCUUAAAAUGCUGCCGAACCUAUUGAUGAAUUCCAGUCCUCCCCAAAAAGCCCAUAUCAGUUUCAGCUAUCUCAUCCCCAAGAGCCUGUGGAGAGGCCAGCAGCCCAUCGUGAGAUAAUCAGAGGGGGGCCUGCCCAUCCUCAGUCUUUCACUUUGUCAACACUGAGACUCGUGGCUCCUGUGUGCUGUGCUGAGCUCCAAGGACGCAGAGAACGCUGGUCCCACGUGGAGGAGAGCAUGGGUGCAAGACUGUGGCACCACCACCAGGCUGUAGGUCCCAAGGAAGCCCUGUGUUGUAUUUGUAACUGUAUCUCUUACACCUAACAGGAGGCCCACACCUAGUAGGUGCUCAAUAAAAAAUUAGAAAUAAAUAAUACAACACGCUCCCUUUGAUAACAAAGAGUUGGGAGAUGGGGAGGAAAUGGUUAAUUCUGCUAGGGUAUUAAAGAAACCUUCACCGAAGAGGCCACAGGUCCAAGCUGGUCCAUGAAAUUGUAGGAGUCAACGGGCAGAGAAGGGAGAAGAGCAGUCCAGGAGGAGCGAAUGGGAGGGUGUGAUGUGGCAAGAGGUCAAGCAGGAAGAAAGGCAGGAUGAGGAGGGACCUUGAACUGCAGGCAGGUCCAGGCCCCACAGAUGCUAACUCUGUUCAUAGAUUCUACUGUUCACGUGACAAAUUCUUCUUAGAAUCACGAGCCAAACUGCCUCUUUAGAAACAUUAAUUUCCUUUUGUCAAGUGGUGAAGCCAUGCUGUGUUUCCUUUCUCACUUUGACUGCCAGGAAGCUCCUGAAGUACUGGGUUCCUUAUAAUUUUUUGUAUCCCCUAACAGUCCCACGCAGGACUUUCCACCCAAUAGAUCCUGUUUUAGUUCUCUGUUGCUGCAUAAAAAUAUACCAGCGAAUGUAGAAGCUUCAAAUAAUACUCAUUUAUUAGCUCACAGAAGUGUGGGCAAGGCUUGACUGGGUCUUCUGCAAGCCUUCAAUCAAGAUGUCAGCCAGGGCUGGGGUCUCAUCUGAGGCUUGACUGGGGAAAGAGCUGCUUGCAAGCUGUGUGGUUGUUGGCAGAAUUCAGUCCCUUGCAGAUGCCAGGCAGAGGCCUCAGUUUCUUACUUGGUGUCAGCUGACCCUUAGUAUCUUACCCUUUUAACAGGCAGCCCACAACAUGACAGCUUGCUGCUUCAAAGGUGCAAGGGAGGAGGUGUCCUUGCAAGACUGCCUUUGCAGUCUCGUGUAGGGGUAAUCAUGGCCACACAGUCGCAUACAUCUGUCACCUGUGCCUAUUCUAUUGGUUAGAACAAGUCCCACCCACGCUCAGGGAGGGGUUUACACAGGGCGUGAAGACCAGCCGAAGGAUCAUGGGGCCACCUCCGAGUCUGUCAGCCCCAGGUCCUCAUCAGAUAUUAACCAUUAGUUAACUGAACUACUCUGUUUGGCAAUUAAGGGCAUCACUGUUAUGUAGACACACAUAUUAUCUCCCCAAGAAGACAGGGAAGUGAGCUCUCUUCCUGCUCAGAACGCCCCCCCCGCCCCCACAGCAUCCACCACAAUGCUGGGCACUGACCAGCUGAUAAAUAUGAAACGAAGAAAUGUCAGAGGAUUCACAGUACUGCUGGAAGGACCUGGGGCUUUCUAUCAUCAAGGUGAAUCUCUGAUUGUCAUAAAUUUCUGGUUUGACACAUGUAAUUAAAAAAAAAAACCCAUAAAACAAUCCUAACAGCCACGAAGUGGGACCUACAUCAGACAAGACCAUUACACAUGUGGCCCUUCUCUAGCAAAAUGUCUCCUGACUCCCAGCCCCUAUUGUUUCCUCCCACGUUACAGAUGAGCUAUGCACAUUAAUAGUUUCCCGAUUCUGCCAGUGCAGCAUUUCACUAGCACAGUCUGAGAACCUGGGCUCUGGAGCCAGGCAGCCUGGGUUGGCAUCAAGCUUAGCCACUUACUGUGUGAUCUCAGACAAGCUGCUUAACUUCUAAUAAUGAUAGCAAAUGCUUGGUUAGUAUUUGCCAUGUGCCAGGCUCUUGACAUAUAUUAAAUUCAUAUAAAUUCAUUUAACCCAUCUAACCACCCUGGGAGGUAGGCAGCAUUAUUAGCCCCAUUUUACAGAAGAGAAAACUGAGGGAGAAUGGUCAAGACUGGGCUUAAGGCUCUCAGCCUGAGCAAGAACAUGGAGAUAGAAGGGUAAAUGGUGGACAAGACAACUGAGGACAGAGGAACAGCAAACAGGAAGCUAGUGCCAGUGGGUUCUCCUUCUAACCUGCUGUCCCCACGGCCGACCCUGGCCAAGGUGGACAGGUAGAAACCGUGCGCUUUACCAUUUGAACUGCUUGUCUGGACUAAGAGCUUAAAUGUGACUUGCAGGUCUGUGCAGGGUGUGGGGAGCAGAAAGGAGAAGCCAGAAUGCUAUCACUUUGGGAACUAGAUUUCGUCCUGCUUACAGCCACCUCACCCUGAUCUUUUUAGGUGGGUCUGUGGACCCUGCUUGUCUGACCUGCCAGUCAAUAUUCAGUGGUGGUACUGGGUGAGUCGCUGUACACACUAAGGGUCUGUUGCCAUGGUGUGGUGGGGACUGGUGUUGGAGGACAGUCGGUAUGUCAGCGAAAGUUCCCCUUAUGUGAGGGGCUGUUGAGGGGCCAGAGGUUCUAUCUCAGCUUCUGGAACCUUCCACCAACUCCAAAAGGGCAAAGGGCAUCGGAGUUAGCCUGUGAGCACGCUGAACACAGGGAACAAGGUUUCCUCUACUGGGAUGGCUGUGGAGGUGGUGGUGGUGGUGAUGGGAGGUGUUCAGCCUCUGAGACCAGAGAGGAGGGUUGAGAGACGAGGGGGCCGCGACACAGGGACAAAGCGGGCACAGCCGACAAAGACUCGCCUGCAGGAAGGGCCCUUUCAGAACAGUUGGGCUUAGGGAACAAGAUAAUGCACCACGGAGAGGGGAGAGGAGCUGGCACUCAAAGAGCUCUAGGGACGGUCCCUUCCUCCUCCCCAGCCGGACAGCUCUGGGCCUCCGUGGAUCUGGGCGUCCCUUACCCUGCACCCUCCUCCCACCCUCACCUCCUGACCGUUAGCCCUCUGAGGCCACCUCGUGACCAGCUGUGGGGAGGGGACCCGCCCGAGAUUCCAAAAACCCCUCAGAGCCAGACACCCUCUUAAUCCACGACCCCUUCCUCUGCCCAGACGCCCCCUUCACCCUUGUAACCCAGCCUGGGGGCCCCCCUGCGAGUCUGGCUUCUCUGGUAGGACUCAGCAAGCCUCACGGAGCAAACCAGCGCUUCCGACACUUUUCCCGCCAACAUGGCCGGGUAAUAGCUGGGAGGCUCCGCUGGUGCGCAGAGACACACGCAAACUGAACCCAGCGGCGGACACACAGUCCCCGAGAGGCACACAGGGAAUCCUGUGCCUGCCCGGGGAGUGACCUGGGGCUCCGGGCCUGCCAUCACUCCCUCGAAUAUUCCGCGCCCCACCCCCCAUCCCGCCACGACCCUGCAUCUCCCCACUGCCCUUUUCUGCCUGCCUAUCUCCCCUUCCUUCCUGACAGCGGGAAGGGGGUUCCACGAGGACAGAGGAGCCCCCCGCGCUCUGGCGCUGACUGUCCGCAAGUGCGCCCACUUUCGCAUGGGGACGGGAGCGUUUCUGCCCGGGAACUGCCUGCGCGCGGAGGACACACGGUGAUCUCCAGGCUGUGGCGGGCGGUGCGCGCGCGCCUGGCUUCCCCUCUGCGGUGGGGACCAGGCUUCACACUGCCUGGACUGCGCCACCUGCCCUUUGAGAGAAACGUGAGGCACUUCCACACCCUGGAAGCGGAGGCGGCCCAGCACCCGGCCCCUAACGUGAAGCCCCGGGAGGGAAUCAGGGCGCCAAAAGCGCCCCACGAAGCGCGGAGGCGCACCGACCGGGUGUCGGUCAACUUUGCGCACAUAUGUGGGAAUUAGGGGCCGUAGGCCUUGGCAGCGGGGGCAGGAGGGACGGAGCGGUGCGACUGGAGAGGGCCCGGCUCGCCAAAGGGGAUCUCGGAGUCCUGCGGGAGGCGCCACCCGGGCCCAGACGCAGGAGGCCGGGGGCGGGGAGGCGGAUCCGUCAAGCUCCAGUUGAGCCCUGGAAAAACCCCGGCGCGCAGGGGAGAGGCGGGCCAGCUCGCAAGCACUGCCGGGGACGGCGGGAACAAAGGCGGCCCGCGGCCGGAUGCAGUCAUGGAAAAACCCGUUGGGGCGCCGCGGCGGGGGCGGCAGGGGAGGGGCGGCGCGCGCCCGGCAGCCAUGCCACCCUCACCGGCCGGCCUGGGCGGGGCUGCUCCGUCCCUAGCCCCGGAGCGCUCCUCGCCGGCGAAGGGGGAGGCCCAGGAAAACAGAAAAUGCCGGGCGGGGCGGGGAGGCCUGGGGACCGAGAACCGGUAACCCCCUUGCUCCGAUGCUGCGCGCCAGCCUGCCCGCCGUGCACAUCCCAUGCUCUCGGCUGCGAGGGGGAGGGUGGCCCCGGCUGGUACACGCCAGACACACGCGGCGCUGCACACGGCCACUUGGCAGCUACAGCAGCCGGUGGUGACCAGCCCGUAGGGGGCGCGCACAGACGCAGGCAAUGGCGCGGACGCGUGUGCGGCGGCGCACACGCUCCUGCACACACAUGAUCACUUACGUGCACGUGCACCCAGUCACGCGAGCUGCCCAUAGCUCCCAGGGCUAGAUACAGAAGCUAGGGGCGGGGGCCUUAGAAGAAGCUGCGGUUAGGGUGCCCCCCUCCCCAUUUUACAGGUGCGGAGACUGGGCCUCCUGGGACCUAACGUGCCAGGUCCCGCCCCAGGGCUGGAGUUUCCCUCCCAUGCAGGACGCUGCCCGCCCUGUCCUGGUCUUAUGAACUGCCUGGAGACGGGGAGGCGUCACCACGGAAUUUUUUUUUUUCUGUGGAAAAGGAAAGUGUUGGCGCAAGUUGGACCCAGUGACUCCUUACGCCUUUUCCAGUUCUGACUUAUUAUGAAGAAGGAACUGUACCCAGAUCCCAUAAAAGGAGUUGGUGGGAGCUGAGAACAAGACUUGGUCCCUGGUUUAGCCCCAACCACAGGCUCUUCCUGGUUCAAAUGUCCCCUUGUUUAUUUGUGCUGCUGCCUGCCCGUGGGGGGUCAGGAGGCAAAGCCUGAAGCCGUGGUGUCCCUGGGGUGAAGAAGGGAUGUAGAGUAGGACAUGACUCCGCGGACCCAGAGCCAGCCUCUGGGAGCAGAGGGGACCCCAGGCUCUGCCCUAAGGGGGAGCUGCUGGGUUGGGGUGGCAGGUCUGGCUUCCUAAGCAGGAGCCCACGACUUCAAGAAGCUUCAAGUUCGAGAAGAGGCCUUUUUGUGAGGCCUGGCUGUUGGAAUUGUUGUGGAAAUACAGUUGUGAUAGAGGGACUGGUCACCAAUCAGAAUAAAGAUUCAAGAGAAGCAGGGGCGCCAGCGACACGACAGGGUCCAAUGAGCUGGCAUUUACUCCUGGUCCCCUUGGGAACUGAGUUUGGAAUCAAAUUACCCAGCCCUGCUUCUCCCUAGCUUCCUGGUUUGGGGAUCUUAUCCAUCAUCUUUGGGCCUCAAAUUCCUCAUCUGUAAAAUGGGAACAAGAGCUCCUCCACAGGGGUGUUUUGGGGAUUGAAAGUGGGUAUAAAUCCCCCCUUCCAUCCUGCCGCCCCUCCUUUUCCUCUUCUCGAAGUCCCCGGUGCUUGCGCGUUAGGAGUCCUUCCAAGUGCUGGUUUCGCUGUGAGCAGGUGGGAGGUCCAGUGGGACGAAGGCUAGGGAGCAGCGCCCCCUGGUGGUCUGUAUCAGGAGGCUCGCUCCUCCGUGAAGACCCGCCCCGGUUAACCUGGUUAGCUCCUGCUGGCGUCUGGCAAGUUCGAGUCUCCAGGGGCCGAUCGUGGAGCUCUACUCAGGGCGGCCUUUCCUUCUGACUCAGUUUCCCCCUCGAGCAAGCAGGGAGAAUGCUGCUCCCCCACAGCAGCUUCUCCUCUGCUCUCUCACGGCCCAGCUUUAACCAGCUUCUUUCAUUUCUGCCCCGGAGGAAUCCGCGCACUUGGCGUUUACACUGCGCUUUAUAGCUUGCAAAUCACUUUGACACACAUUACUGGUCCCUGAGGUGUGCUGUUUCUGGGUGGUGACGGCGCUCGAUGGAUAGAGGAUCGUGUUUUAGAGCGUGGCUCCAGCACGGUGCGCUGGCUUGGAUCCUGCCGCCUUCAUCCAGCGUGUAACCAGGGCGACAUUCAAAACAUUGAAUAACCAGUAGGACAGGCAGCGACCAAUCCGAACAGACCCUGCCCUAAACGCCAGGUACAGCCAAAUGCCUGUAUACUUGCUGAACAUUCUGGAAUAACCUCAACCUCACUGGGCCUUGGUUUCUCUGUCUGCAGGACAGGAAUGGUGAGCCCAAUAGUACCACCAUAUAGGGCUGUCCUGAAGACCAAAUUAGUUAAUGCACAGAAAAGACUGGGAAAUCAGUCUAGCCCAUAGAAAGCACCAGAUGAGUUAGCUUUAUUACUGGUCCUGCCUCCUCUCAGACUCAGUGACUCACGAUGAUUGCCACUUUUAAGAGAAACUCUCCAAGUGAGCCCACUGUAUGUACCUAAGGCUGCCUCCUGCCUCCACGCCUCCUUGUCUGGCCCUCCAGUUAUCUUACUCUCUAGGACUGCUUCUCAAACUUUACCAUGCGCCCAGAUUUCUGGGGGAUCUUGUUAAAUUGCAGAUUCUGAUUAAGGCGUUCUGCAUGGGGCUUGGGAUUCUACAAUCCCUCCAAGCUCCCAGGCAGGGCUGACGCCGGUCUGAGAAGCAAGACUCCAGAUCAGUGCAGAAGCAGAAGUGGCAGCUGAUGGAUCUGUGAAUGUUUAUUGAGCACCCACUCAGUGCAGGGCAGUCCGAGGAUCCAGCCAGUCUGAGGGCUGGCCUCCAGCCUCGAGCAGCAGACAGGCCAUUGCACAAACACAAGUUAACACUAGCAGUCAGGUCAAGGACAAACAUGUGCUAGACAGUAGGUGGUCCAUUCUCUGCCCAGUAGCCAGAGUGAGGCUCUAAACAGUAAAGAUCCCAGAACCGCCCUGCUUAAAGCCAUCCAAUGGCUCCCUCCUCACUCAAAAGAGAAGCCGGAUUCUUCUGGAUUCUUCUUCAAGGCCCUGCACCAUCUGGCCCCGCCUCUGACCUCAUCUCCCAUCACUCAGCUUCAUUCUAGGCUCACCUUUUGUUCCCUUGAACCAACACCUCAACUUCUAUCCUACCUGACAGCCUUUGAACUUAGCUGGUUAAUGCUUGUCCUUCAAACUGGCGAAUGCCUGGCUUCGUAUUCAGCCUCUCACUGCUUCCCGGAGACCGUCCUUGACCUAAAGGGAGUUUGCUCUAAAGUAGCUGACCUCAGCCCAG